CCCUUAGAUGUCCUGGGCCGCACGCGCGCUACACUGAUGCAUGCAACGAGUUUAUAACCUUGGCCUGAAAGGCCUGGGCAAUCUUGUUAACGUGCAUCGUGAUAGGGAUAGAUUAUUGAAAUUAUUAAUCUUGAACGAGGAAUUCCUAGUAAACGCAGAUCAUCAAUCUGCAUUGAUUACGUCCCUGCCCUUUGUACACACCGCCCGUCGCACCUACCGAUUGGAUGGUCCGGUGAAGCCUCGGGAUUGUGGUUCUUGCCGCUUUAUUGUGGCGUGACCGCGAGAACUUGUCUAAACCUUAUCAUCUAGAGGAAGGUGAAGUCGUAACA
rnacentral:rRNA from 1 species